UCACAAUUCUUAUACAGAUUGAAAAUAAAAUGCAUGGACGUGUUUGCAGGAUUGGGGUACCCGUUUCCUGGAAUCUUCUGCCUGGGUGUUGGAACACUUGCCGCUCUUCCUGCUCCCUCCAUUGGCUACCACUCCCAUUGAUUGAAGGAAAAGGUCCCUGGAUCACUAUUAAAUGAGCCGCAGGUGGAGAAGGGAGUGGAAAGUGGUAGUUCUGUUCCAUAAACAAGAUGGAAUCUGAAGGAAAGAGGACUGUGCCCUGAGUGCUUUUCUUUCUUCUGAGGAGUGAGCUGUGUACCAAUCUGUAACAGGUU